rnacentral:sRNA from 1 species
GCUGGGCACAGUGGCCCACACCUGUAAUCCCAGUUGCUCUGGAGGCUGAGGCAGGAGGAUCUUGAGUUCAAAGCCAGCCUCAGCAAUCUAGAGAGGCCCUAAGCCACUCAGUGAGACCCUGUCUCUA